CCUACGGGGGGCAGCAGUAGGGAAUCUUUCACAAUGGGCGAAAGCCUGAUGGAGCAACGCCGCGUGCAGGAUGAAGGCCUUCGGGUUGUAAACUGCUUUUAUAAGCGAGAAAUAUGAUGGUAACUUAUGAAUAAGGAUCGGCUAACUACGUGCCAGCCGCCGCGGUCAUACGUAGGAUCCGAGCAUUAUCCGGAGUGUCUGGGUGUAAAGAGUUGCGUAGGUGGCAGAAUAAGUAGCUAGUGAAAUCUGGUGGCUCAACCAUUCAGACUAUUAGCUAAACUGUUAAGCUCGAGACCGUUAGGGCUAACUGGAAUUUCUGGUGUAGGGUUGAAAUCCGUAGAUAGUAGAAGGAACACCAAUAGCGUAGGCAGGUUACUGGGACGGUUCUGACACUAAGGCACGAAGGCGUAGUGAGCAAAAGGGAUUGAGUACCCCGUAGUC
rnacentral:rRNA from 1 species